rnacentral:lncRNA from 1 species
AUCAAUCAGAAGGUGAUCGUGCAGUUGUAGGUCAUUUUAAAAAGCAACCCUCCCACUGCUAAACGGCAACUUGGAGGCUGCCUUCCAGACUUGCUCAAUCCAGCACCGUCUCAUCGGGAUAUUCUCUGCAACGGUCUCCACAAUAAACACGCAGAUCUCUUCUUUCUAGUGCUUAUUUUUCUUGCAGUGUAUUUUAUCGCCCUUGCCUACAGAGUUGUCUCUUCCAGGGAAAAGACUUCUUCCAAGAAAAAAGAAAUUACAGCAGUGAGCCAGGAAGGAGACGCAGCUCAUAUGCAUCUCAUCUCGGCAGGGACGACGACCCCGGUCCUACGAUGGUACAGGUCCCGGCUAAAGGAAGGGUAAAUAAACAGAAUGCCGUCUCCCACACUAAACUAUAAACUCCUGGAGGACAGGGACCGUGUCUACCAAUUCUACCGCACUGUAUUCUCCCAAACACUUAGUACAGUGCUCAGUGAGCGCUCAAUAAACCCCGGAAGGAUUGCUACUAGAGUCCUUUAACACACUACAGCAAAAAGGAUCGAAGCUGAGUUGAAGCAACUAUCAUCGUGGCAUUUGAGCGUCAUCGAUCUGCCGGCCCUAAAGGGAGACACUAGUCUAGACCGCAGGAAGCAGUUCACCACCAUCAGCGGAUUGAAGAAGACCAGGCAGAGAGGACUCCUUCAUCCACGACACGACCCCCUACCUAGAAAUCUCUUCCCCUGGCACUGGUUGUUUGCCAACCUCAUUGCCUCACCGAAGCAGGAAUCCACCAAAUAAGCACUUUCCGUCAAGAAAAGAAGCAGAGAAGCAGUGGGACUAGAGGAAAGACCACAGGCCUGGGAGUCCAAAGACCUGGGUUCUAAUUCCGGCUCUGCCACCUAUCUACUGCGCGAUCUUGGGCAAGUCACGUAGCUUGUCCGUGCCUCAAAAUGGAUAUUCAAUACCUGUUGUCCCUCCUACUGUCAGGCCCUUGUGAGACCUGAUUAUCUUGUAUCUACCCCAGCGCCUAGUAAUAAUAAUAAUGUUGGUAUUUGUUAAGCGCUUACUAUGUGCAGAGCCCUGUUCUAAGCGCUGGGGUAGACACAGGGGAAUCAGGUUGUCCCACGUGAGGCUCACGGUCUUCAUCCCCAUUUUACAGAUGAGGUGACUGAGGGGCAGAGAAGUUAAGCGACUUGCCCACAGUCUCACAGCUGACAAGUACGGUGUUGGGCACAAAGUAAGUACUCAACAAAUACCACGACUGUUGUUAGUAUCAGUCGGCGGGCUGUCUUGUUCUGGAACUCCAACUCUCCGAUCGCUCGGGAUCGAGAGAACGGCCGGUCCUCCAGAACCGGAAACUCAGAAGAUGACUACCAGAUGGGUUUCGGCCCUUAAGACACUCCAGCGUCUCUCUUAAAGUCAAUCCCGUCUCCGGUUCGACGUGUGCGUCGAAGGUGAUUAAUCCCAAAUCCCCGACUCUCCUAGCGACGUGUGGAAUCUGGCUUGCCGUGGCAUUUAACCCUUCAGAUGAGCCGCUGGUGACUCUUGUCCAUCUGCCGGGAAGUUCCGAUUUAGGACUUUCACUCCAGAGGAAAUGGCGUGCAAGGAAAACCAAAAUUCGACAUUUCGUUUUCUCUGCUUGAGCAGAACUGAAUGAAAACCAGGUUAUGCUGCUACUCUUUGAUACGACUUCCAGGCCCGAGGCUAAGCCCAGGAAUCUGAAGCCGGGAACGCUAGGAUCGCUGGGGGCUCGUAUGGCAUCGUUAAGCUGUUACUAGGUGCCGGGCACUGUAUUAAACGCUUAAGUUCUUAGUGCAAUAUUCCGCCCCAAGUAAGCUCUCAAAAAAAUGCUGGUUUUUAACCGGUUAUGGGCACCGGCUUCAUCCAUCGAGACGGCAUAUUCUGUAGAAGUUGGCCUUGUUUUCUGGGAAUAAACCAUGGCCGUUUGAGGAGCCUGUGAUUGUUUCAUCGUGGCAGAUGUUGCAUCCUCAGAUCCACUG